rnacentral:rRNA from 1 species
AUUGAACGCUGGCGGCAGGCCUAACACAUGCAAGUCGAACGAGUGGCGGACGGGUGAGUUAUGUCUGGGAAACUGCCUGAUGGAGGGGGAUAACUACUGGAAACGGUAGCUAAUACCGCAUACCAUGGGAUGUGCACAGAUGGGAUGAGCUGGUAGGUGGGGAAAGGGCUCACCUAGGCGACGAGCCCUAGCUGGUCUGAGAGGAGGACCAGCCACACUGGAACUGAGACACGGCCCAGACUCCUACGGGAGGCAGCAGUGGGGAAUAGUGCACAAUGGGCGCAAGCCUGAUGCAGCCAUGCCGCGUGUAUGAAGAAGGCCUUCGGGUUGUAAAGCACUUUCAGCGGGGAGGCGUUACCCGCAGAAGAAGCACCGGCUAACUCCGUGCCAGCAGCCGCGGUAAUUC